GACGAACGCUGGCGGCGUGCUUAACACAUGCAAGUCGAACGGAAAGGCCCUGCUUUUGUGGGGUGCUCGAGUGGCGAACGGGUGAGUAACACGUGAGUAACCUGCCCUUGACUUUGGGAUAACUUCAGGAAACUGGGGCUAAUACCGGAUAGGAGCUCCUGCUGCACGGUGGGGGUUGGAAAGUUUCGGCGGUUGGGGAUGGACUCGCGGCUUAUCAGCUUGUUGGUGGGGUAGUGGCUUACCAAGGCUUUGACGGGUAGCCGGCCUGAGAGGGUGACCGGCCACAUUGGGACUGAGAGACGGCCCAGACUCCUACGGGAGGCAGCAGUGGGGAAUAUUGCACAAUGGGCGGAAGCGUGAUGCAGAAACGCCGCGUGCGUGAUGACGGCCUUCGGGUUGUAAACCGCUUUCGCCUGUGACGAAGCGUGAGUGACGGUAAUGGGUAAAGAAGCACCGGCUAACUACGUG
rnacentral:rRNA from 1 species